rnacentral:piRNA from 1 species
UUUCUAACCCCGGAUGUCUCCUUUGGCCA